UCCGAGGAGUGUAGCAGUUAGCGCUCAUUCAUGACAUCAUCUCCUCACCAGAGGGUGGGGUGUUGGGGGGGUGGUGGGUGGGGACUACGGUGGAACUGUGGGACUCAGAAGGGAGUCUUAGCAACAGAAACAAACACACUAUUGCUUUGCAAUUACCGCUGUAGGCGCAUUAGCUACUAUCGCGCCGGCAACCGACAGAUAUCGCUCCCUUGGGUGCUUUUAUGCACCAACUGUGAGCACCCUGUCUGCGCUCCUUAAGGACUCCAGAGCAGUUAGCAGUAAACAGGUUAGCUUAUGGCUGUUCAGUGCUGCUAAUCAGCGAUGUUCACAAUGCAUCACUCACUACCCCUGUAUUCAUUUUUCUCUGGGGCCGUGAAAAAGUGAAUUACUGUCCGCUCCACCCAUCAUUUCUGGAAACCAAAAAAAAACUGUUUCCUUACCUUCCUGUUGCUCUGGGUUCGGUGGCACCCCCUGAACGUGGCGGGGAAAAGCCUGUCAAAUGUACAAGCGAGGGACCAAUGACCUCGUUUGUGUGUGUGUGUGCAUAACUGUCCACCGCAGAGCACCCAUUUCCCAUCAAGAAAAUAAAUCACCUAACAAGAACGCAGCAAAUGGUGAAUAAAUACCAUGGACGUUCUUAUUUUUUCGAGUUUGGCAAGUGAAAUAUGAUAAAUAACUGCUGCUGUUGAUGAGUCGGGACCUUCACUGGAGUAAAUAUGCCAAGACUGACACCUCUUGACUACUACCGGUCCCCAGAGAGGACAUAUUUGAUUGUUUGACAUGUGUGCGCCCCGUCGUCGCCGGGCCUAUUGAUGAUUAAUAAUGACACCAUCCGGCCCCCUCACUGCCCCCACCCCUCCGGUGUGUUCAGGCACGACGUGGCCUCUAUAUUUUGUGAGGAAAAAUGGCGGCCGCACGCUGUAUACCAUUUAGAGAAUGAUAUGGCGCGGGGACGGGGGAUGCCUCCUCAUAAAUAAAGGUGAUGGCACCUCGACAUCCUGUGAACGACGGCCACCAUAAAUACAUCGCCAGGGCCAGACGUGUCGCCGCGCCAUCAAUCUGUCCACACGCUUCAUUCCUCAACAGUGUGUGUGUGUACUUUGCACACUGUAUAUCAUGUGCUUGUGUGUACCGUGGAUAUUUACACUGAGUGAGGAAAGUUACAUUUAAUUAUGUAUUCCUUUGCCUACCAGGAGGCCAGGAAAAAAAAAAGAGUGAGAGCGGAGGAGCAAGGCAGUGUGGCGGUCGCUCGCUCUUUUCCCUCACUGCAG